GACGAACGCUGGCGGCGUGCUUAACACAUGCAAGUCGAACGGAAAGGCCCUGCUUUUGUGGGGUGCUCGAGUGGCGAACGGGUGAGUAACACGUGAGUAACCUGCCCUUGACUUUGGGAUAACUUCAGGAAACUGGGGCUAAUACCGGAUAGGAGCUCCUGCUGCAUGGUGGGGGUUGGAAAGUUUCGGCGGUUGGGGAUGGACUCGCGGCUUAUCAGCUUGUUGGUGGGGUAGUGGCUUACCAAGGCUUUGACGGGUAGCCGGCCUGAGAGGGUGACCGGCCACAUUGGGACUGAGAUACGGCCCAGACUCCUACGGGAGGCAGCAGUGGGGAAUAUUGCACAAUGGGCGGAAGCCUGAUGCAGCAACGCCGCGUGUGGGAUGACGGCCUUCGGGUUGUAAACCGCUUUCGCCUGUGACGAAGCGUGAGUGGCGGUAAUGGGUAAAGAAGCACCGGCUAACUACGUG
rnacentral:rRNA from 1 species